AUCCAGGUCAUUGAUGACUACGCUGAACAGGACUGGACCCAGUACGGACUCAGCCGUCACCAUCACCACUGGCACCAUGGCACUGGUUUGGACACGAUGUCUUGAUUCCCAGUCCUGGUGCUUCAGAAACAAGCCCAGAGUGCCAGCAGACAGACAUCCCCCUGCAGCGCAAUGCGAGCGCUGUGAAGCCCCUGGGAGAAGCAGUGUGCUACCGGGAGCGUCCUGCCCUAUUUUCUGCACCAGAGCAGCCCCGCGCUGGUGUGCAGCGAUGCGUGUGGGCCAGGAGCAAUUGCACAUACAGCCAGCUACUGGUCCUAGGGAAACCUCACUGAAUCACGCACUGAUCCACACACAGAUUCAAUCUUACGGUUAUCACUAGCUGGACUUCUGAGGAAUUAAUGCGCUUGAUUCUUCUUGCACUGUGCCCAAGGUUCUCUCUGGAGUCAAUGGAAAAAUGUCACCCCUGCAGAGGUGAUAAAGUGAGAAGGGGGAUAUCCCACCUUUCCUCUGUGUGCAACAGUGCACGGGUUGGGACAUCGACACGCUUAAUAAACAGACUUAAAGUAUAUCAGCAUGCAGGUGCGAUAGCUCUGUAGAGGUUUUUCACAUUAGACAUACCAGAUCUCUCUGCAUCCUUCAUUGCCCUCAUAA